rnacentral:rRNA from 1 species
CAGUCGCCACGGUAAUACGUAGGGUGCAAGCGUUAAUCGGAAUUACUGGGCGUAAAGCGUGCGCAGGCGGUUUUGUAAGACAGAGGUGAAAUCCCCGGGCUCAACCUGGGAACUGCCUUUGUGACUGCAAGGCUAGAGUACGGCAGAGGGGGAUGGAAUUCCGCGUGUAGCAGUGAAAUGCGUAGAUAUGCGGAGGAACACCGAUGGCGAAGGCAAUCCCCUGGGCCUGUACUGACGCUCAUGCACGAAAGCGUGGGGAGCAAACAGGAUUAGAUACCCCAGUAGUCCCUGUCUCUUAUAU